GCCGGUGUGGUGGCGCACGCCUGUAAUCCCAGCACCUGGGAGGCUAGGACAGGAGGAUUGCGAGUUCAAAGCCAGCCUCAGCAACGGGUGAGGCACUAAGCAACUCUGUGAGACCCUGUAU
rnacentral:sRNA from 1 species